GCCUGCCCAGUGACAUAGUUUAACGGCCGCGGUACUCUGACCGUGCGAAGGUAGCAUAAUCACUUGUUCUUUAAAUGGGGACUAGUAUCAACGGCAUCACGAGGGCUUUACUGUCUCCUUUUUCCAAUCAGUGAAACUGAUCUCCCCGUGAAGAAGCGGGAAUUAUAUUAUAAGACGAGAAGACCCCAUGGAGCUUUAAACCCAAUAACACCCCUGACUUAUCCUCUCCCUAAAGUCUUUUGGCCCUGUCUAUUGGUUUUAGGUUGGGGCGAUCGCGGAGUAAAACUUAACCUCCACAACGCAUGGAACUAACACCAUAUCCAAGAGCCACCUCUCUAAGAAUCAACAAAUUGACGUAAAAUGAUCCAAUUAUUUUGAUCAAUGAACCAAGUUACCCUGGGGAUAACAGCGCAAUCCAUUUUAAGAGCUCCUAUCGACAAGUGGGUUUACGACCUCGAUGUUGGAUCAGGAUAUCCCAGUGGUGCAGCCGCUACUAACGGUUUGUUUGUUCAACAAAUUAAAAUCUUACGGGGAUCUGAGUUCAGACCGG
rnacentral:rRNA from 1 species